UACGGAGGGGGGCUAGCGUUGUUCGGAAUUACUGGGCGUAAAGCGCACGUAGGCGGCUUUUCAAGUCCCAUGUGAAAGCCCACGGCUUAACCGUGGAAGUGCAUGGGAAACUGGAAAGCUUGAGUACUUAAGAGGAUCGCGGAAUUCCCGGUGUAGAGGUGAAAUUCGUAGAUAUCGGGAGGAACACCAGUGGCGAAGGCGGCGAUCUGGGAAGAUACUGACGCUGAGGUGCGAAAGCGUGGGGAGCAAACAGG
rnacentral:rRNA from 1 species